rnacentral:misc_RNA from 1 species
UUGAGUGGCAGUUUUACUGAUAAAGCGCCCGAUGACAGCAGUAACGAGCCCCAGAACUCCACCAGCAAUCACCUGUAGAGGAGUAUGACCAAGCAGUUCCCGCAGUGGUCUGGUGUCAGACAGAGGAUGUUCUUCUGGAAGUUCAAAGACAAUUUGAUUCAACACCUCUGCUUGCUUCCCAGCAUGUAAUCGGACCCCAAAAGCAUCAUGCAUUACAAUGCAUGCGAGUAACAUUGCAGUAGCAAACAAAGAACCACCAAAACCGUCGUGAAACCCAAUAGCUAUUGCAAGCGCGGUAACCGUAGCCGAAUGGGAUGAUGGCAUCCCACCAGAUCCAAUAAGUUGCUUAGCAUCCCAACGUCUUUCUUUGUACCAGGCGGUGAAGAACUUG